rnacentral:rRNA from 1 species
GGUGGAUCAGUGGCGAACGGGUGAGUAACACGUGAGCAACCUGCCCUGGACUCUGGGAUAAGCGCUGGAAACGGCGUCUAAUACUGGAUAUGAGACGUGAUCGCAUGGUCGUGUUUGGAAAGAUUUUUCGGUCUGGGAUGGGCUCGCGGCCUAUCAGCUUGUUGGUGAGGUAAUGGCUCACCAAGGCGUCGACGGGUAGCCGGCCUGAGAGGGUGACCGGCCACACUGGGACUGAGACACGGCCCAGACUCCUACGGGAGGCAGCAGUGGGGAAUAUUGCACAAUGGGCGGAAGCCUGAUGCAGCAACGCCGCGUGAGGGAUGACGGCCUUCGGGUUGUAAACCUCUUUUAGCAGGGAAGAAGCGAAAGUGACGGUACCUGCAGAAAAAGCGCCGGCUAACUACGUGCCAGCAGCCGCGGUAAUACGUAGGGCGCAAGCGUUAUCCGGAAUUAUUGGGCGUAAAGAGCUCGUAGGCGGUUUGUCGCGUCUGCUGUGAAAUCCCGAGGCUCAACCUCGGGCCUGCAGUGGGUACGGGCAGACUAGAGUGCGGUAGGGGAGAUUGGAAUUCCUGGUGUAGCGGUGGAAUGCGCAGAUAUCAGGAGGAACACCGAUGGCGAAGGCAGAUCUCUGGGCCGUAACUGACGCUGAGGAGCGAAAGGGUGGGGAGCAAACAGGCUUAGAUACCCUGGUAGUCCACCCCGUAAACGUUGGGAACUAGUUGUGGGGACCAUUCCACGGUUUCCGUGACGCAGCUAACGCAUUAAGUUCCCCGCCUGGGGAGUACGGCCGCAAGGCUAAAACUCAAAGGAAUUGACGGGGACCCGCACAAGCGGCGGAGCAUGCGGAUUAAUUCGAUGCAACGCGAAGAACCUUACCAAGGCUUGACAUAUACGAGAACGGGCCAGAAAUGGUCAACUCUUUGGACACUCGUAAACAGGUGGUGCAUGGUUGUCGUCAGCUCGUGUCGUGAGAUGUUGGGUUAAGUCCCGCAACGAGCGCAACCCUCGUUCUAUGUUGCCAGCACGUAAUGGUGGGAACUCAUGGGAUACUGCCGGGGUCAACUCGGAGGAAGGUGGGGAUGACGUCAAAUCAUCAUGCCCCUUAUGUCUUGGGCUUCACGCAUGCUACAAUGGCCGGUACAAAGGGCUGCAAUACCGUAAGGUGGAGCGAAUCCCAAAAAGCCGGUCCCAGUUCGGAUUGAGGUCUGCAACUCGACCUCAUGAAGUCGGAGUCGCUAGUAAUCGCAGAUCAGCAACGCUGCGGUGAAUACGUUCCCGGGUCUUGUACACACCGCCCGUCAAGUCAUGAAAGUCGGUAACACCUGAAG